AAUAAAAGUUGAAUAAUUGAGCGCGUGCUUCUAUCAUGUGUUUUCAUCGAAGGAAAAUAAAUAUCUUGUUUAUGUUCUAUAAGAUUAAAUGCUUGAAGAGCUGAUUGAAAAUGGUCUUAUUAUUCGAUUUAAAAUAUUAUAUCAAUUUACAAGGUACAAGGUAGUUUCUGCUUUUAUCAAUAACAUUAUGAUUGUUACAUACUUUUUCGUAGAACACACUUGUCUCUUUAUUUAAGAAAUUCUUUUUUUAUCAUCCUCUAAUGGCUCUUCAAAAAAAUAUAUAUAUAUAUAUAUUACUAUUGCGCCAAAUCUUACGAAAGGCAUAAUCAAAUAUUUGUUUUCUUUCACAAUCUUGUUGUGAAAGACAACAACAAGUUGUCUAAA